GGCCGCUCACGAUCUUGCUGGAGAAAGGUAACUACAAGGGUUCUUUGCAUCCCCCUUAGAAGGAAGUCGCAAAUCUUCCACUUCUUAGAUCACCAGACUUUCCAAUCUGAAAUUCUUUCAGAGCCUUUUGGAGCCAACUGGCCAAAUUCUCAGGCUGCUCAAAGGACAGGGUUUCUUUUCUCUCUGCCCCUCCCUCCACAGAAAGAGCUUCAGGUUCCCCCCCCCAUCUCAGAUCUUGCUUCCUCCUCCCUCCCUCCCCCCCUCUAAACAGGAACAAAUUCACCUUGUCUUCUGCUUCUAACAUUUUGUCAGCACUGGUUAAUGAGUUCAACAUAGUACAGUAAAUUUGCUGAGGAAUCAAAAAGUAUUUAAAAGGGGCUUGUGGUGCUGCCUUAAUGAAAAAGGUAAGGAUUUAUCACUUUUUUUUCCCCUGGUUGGGUUUUUUCCAAUCACCCUCCCUUCUCCCCCCCCCCCCCAGUCUAUUCAACAUACUUUAACUUAAGCUGCCUUUGCAUUGAGUUUGGGGGGCGGGGGGGGGCGGGGAAGAGCCAGCUAGAAAGACUGAAGCUGAAAGUGUGAGAGCGGAAUCUAGAGACAUGCAGGAGCUAGGAUGAAAAAACGCCAUUUGGUUAGGAGCAGAUGGCUGGCCAGGGGGGUGGAUUGCAUCUAAAGGCGUGUCAUCCCCCUUCAGCUCGAAUCCCUGAGGGCUCCCCUUGUCUUCAAAAUCAAUGAAAAUUAAAGCGCGGAGAAAGGAUGAAUGGAGAGACCUCGAGUCUCCUCUUUGUUCAGCCCAGCUACUGGUGGGCAGGAGUUAAACUACAACAGCCUCCUAUAGAAACACUUAAGUUAAACAGUCUCCCUGUUAGCCCAGAAGCAUCUGAGAAGGGGGGGGGGGGGCAAAGCAAAGAGGAAGGGGAGAGCAAGGGAAAAAAAAAAAAAGAGCUUUCUGCUUGAUUUCCCCAAUACAGAAUCGCGUGGCAUAAAUUAAGUUGGAAGAGAAUAAGCGCUUUGGGCAGGAUUCUGAUGGAUUUUAUGACGCCUUUCAGUUCCACUUUGCAGACCUAAUCGAGAAAUCUGUGCUGCGUCAAUUUAACAAAUCCUUGAGAGAGAAGGCAGGAAUGUCAAAUGAACCUCCAGAAAGUCUGGCCUCUAAGACCAAAUCACCAUGGAUCCUAACUCUACUGCGCCUUUAUUCUACAACACCCCUGACUUAACUGACCUAAGAAAAGAUGCCAUCACAACAAAUUUCUCUUUGCAUCUCUUCAUUCUCCAGCCUGGCAAAUGUCUAUGAAAAACAAACAGAGGGUUUCUCUU